UACGUAGGUGGCAAGCGUUAUCCGGAUUUAUUGGGCGUAAAGGGAACGCAGGCGGUCUUUUAAGUCUGAUGUGAAAGCCUUCGGCUUAACCGGAGUAGUGCAUUGGAAACUGGGAGACUUGAGUGCAGAAGAGGAGAGUGGAACUCCAUGUGUAGCGGUGAAAUGCGUAGAUAUGUGGAAGAACACCAGUGGCGAAAGCGGCUCUCUGGUCUGUAACUGACGCUGAGGUUCGAAAGCGUGGGUAGCAAACGGG
rnacentral:rRNA from 1 species